rnacentral:tRNA from 1 species
GCGGGCGUAGCUCAGCUGGUUAGAGCGCCGGCCUGUCACGCUGGAGGUCGUGGGUUCAAAUCCCAUCGCCCGCG